UCUCAAAUACCAAGAUUUAAGCUGUUUGGCUGUUCUUGGCAUUAGCCCGUGGUAUUCAGACUUAAUAUUCAGCACCAGACUCACGGCAAAUUUUGGUCCGUCCUAAAUCCUAUAAUGUCGAGAAAAAUAGGUGGACACUCUUGGCAUUCGGGAAUUGCUGUACCUCUUCGACUAAGACCUGAGUUCGAUCCUGCUUCAAACCACGAGCAGAACACCUUUUAUUCUCCUCCCUGGCGCCUCCCUCCUCAGCGCCCCCGCUCUCGUGCAGUCGUGCGAGGUUCAAGCCCGUGAGGCCGUGACCCCGUGGCGGCGCUCUCCCUCCUUCUUCGGCGCCGGCGGUCCUCUCCCGGCCCGCCGCAGCUCCCUUCCGCGACCUCGCCCUCCCCUCUCAUCUCUCUAGUUUCUCUGUGCUGCAGUUACGAGAGACGCGGCCAGGCAGUCGCGGCACCACGCAGCGCCCUCUCGCCUCUUCCUCCAGCUGGGCACGGUGGCGCCCAAGUUUCGCCGCCGAGGACGACGAGGGACAGGACCAACACCCCAGCGUUGAGUAGGCCCAGGAGCCCGUUGUUGUACCGCGCCAUGGCUGCUCUGCUCGGUUUCUCUUCCUUCCUCGUGUGCCAAUGAUUUUCUCCAUGAUUAUCACAGGAUACCAUUUGCUGGGCGUUGACGAUCGCGAGCCCUCCCCGGCGGCGGCCAGCGUCCAACGAUCGUCCUCACCUCCCUCCCAGACGGCGGCGGCAAGCGCUCCGUCGCUUCGCUGCAGUCGCGGGGCCGCAAGCGGGCGUCGCGCCUCCUGGCGGUCCAGGACCAGCUGCGGCAGCUCCACGCGCCGCCGCGAGGACGCCCGGGCCGAUGCCCACGCUGCCGAGAUCUGAGCCGGUCACCGCGCGUCGUGGAUGAAGGCCGAGCGGCGCCUUCUUCCUCGUGCCACCGCGAUGGAGGAUGAGGCUGCCUCCCUCCGCACGCGGCUCGCCGAGGCGGAGGGCGAGGACGCCGCGCUCCACACGCCGAGCCGACCCUUUCUUUCUCUAACUGCCGCCGCCGCUGCUGCACCUUUCUACCUUCGCCCCCCGCUGCCGUUGUGAACGAGAUGCAGGGGUCAGAUGGAGUGACGCCACCGCUAGCAGCAGGCAUGGAUGACGGCUGCCGCCAGGUUGACGAGGCAGGAUGCAGCGGGCAUGGAGGGAUGCCGUCGCCGCCAACAACCCCAGAUGAAUGGUCCACCAAAUUUCGGAGAUGAGCCACCUUUCACACACGUCCAUUACCCGACAGUUGACGACGACAUCCCGUUUGGGAGACAGCUUGCUACUUUGUGCACGACACUGCACCUGGCAGCACCCUGUUUCCGAGGACGUGAUGAGCCGGUGGGAUCCCAGGGAGGUGCACGCCGCUGGGAGAUCGACACGGAGAUCAAAGGACGGACUGUUGUUCCACUGACGCCCGACAUCACCUACUCCGUGCGCUACCCCGACUUCAUGCUGGGACUCCAGUUCGCCAUGCAACAUGCGAUAGCUCGUGUGUGCGAGGCGUACCAUGAUGAACUGCCUCCGGACUCUGUUUUCCGUAGCUUCGGAAGGCGAGUUGUUGGCGGGAAUGCCGUGGGACCGGAGAUCCUAGGCGAGGCACAUGGAGGAUGUUCAGUCUGGAGCAGAACAUGGUGGACAUAGGAAAGAGUCUCUACAACGAGAUGACCCAUGCAGAUAUAGCUGAAGACCAGGUGGGGAUACUCCAAGGUCAAUUGACGUUGAAGACAAACGAGGUGAACCGCAGGGGAGAUGUUAUCCUAAACAUGCACGCGAUCAUGGAGCAGAUUAUGUACGAGAAGGAUCUCCUACAACUUCAGUAUGAUCAGCUCCAAGCCCAGGUCAACAACACCAACCCUGCACUUGCACCGGCACAAGUUCCACCACCCCCUCAGGACGAGGAGAUGGAGCCACAGGAGGAGGAACCUCAGGAGGCGCAGGAGAUGGACACACCUGCCACCCGCACCCGUUCUAGGGCGAAGAACUCCGGGAACACCAACUUCCUUUCACUUCCUUAGUUUCAGCUUAGAGCCCGCCAAACUAUUUAUUAUACUAUAUUCGUUAUCGUGUUAGUCAUUGACCAUGCCGUCGUUGUGGUAGAUUCGUGUUUUUACUUGCAGCUUUUCACUUGUGUUUUGGGCUAGUACGCCUUGUGAACUAUUUGUCUUGGAUGUUAAAAUCCUAGUGAAUGUUUUUGCUUGUUUUAUAGAUGA